UUGUGGAAAUAUUUAAUCCAACUUUAAGUGAUCACACAAGUUUUACAACAUAAUGUCGUCACCCAUCAAAAAGAUCAUACUUUAGACCUGUCUUGAGAGCUGAGACUGAUUAAAAGAGGCCUGUAUCUAGUCUGAUUUAGUAUCAUCUAUACAUUGUCUUGUUAUUGAAGACAGGCCUGUAUCCAGUUUGAUUGAGAAAUUUUGUUUUUAUGCUGUUCUUGUUUAGCCAUCGGAGUACACUUGUAAUUAUAACAGUCCUAAUAAAGCUUUAGUCGAAUUCCAUGAAUCCACGAGUCUUUUAUUUUUGUUCUCACUCGACCAACGGCUCUCUUUGUCCGAGAUGUAGUACCUUUUGUUCUUAUGAGCAGUGGCACCUAUUCAGAAUUAACACAAGUAUUUCAUGUUCUUUAAUG